CUGUUACCAUGACACCACCGAAAGUGAUAAUGUGGAGGAAAGUGAAAGUGUUCACUUCACCCUCUCAGAGCAGAGGUCACUGUCUUCACCUAGGCCUUGCCCUCUCUGACGUCACGUGGCCGCCUUUGCUAAUUCAACACAGGCGGUACUGGUUCCGAGGGAGCUGGGGAGCGCUGGGCAUGGCUGGGCCCCAUCCAAAGCCUCCACACUGCUCUUCUGCAGCUGUAUGUACUCUCUCUCCUUCGGUCUGACUCCCAUCCUUCGACCCCAGUACUCUGAAGAGCACCCUUCUGUGUUACGGAUGCUAACCAUGCUAACCUAACUCCAGGACACACGGCAGAGACAUCUAGAAAGCUGUCACCAGAAGGUUUAUGGACAUUUUCAAGAUCUACCUAUUGUCAGCAGUCUAUCGCCCCUAGAGAAGGGGAUGCCACUAAGCAGUCUCUGAAGUCCUAAAAUCAGUCAAGUCAGUGUGAGAAAUCAGUCACUCUGGCUGUUUGCCUUGUCGUGGAGGAAAACAGUGAGUUGCCUGGUUACAUUUCACCACAGACGUGACUUCAGAGUUCCUGGGAGAGUGGGAUGACUGAGGUUAGAGGAUGACUUCCAUCGUGUGAGUCCCGGGAAUCAAACUCAGGUCAGCAGGCACCCUUACCUCCUGAGCCAUUGCAACAGUCCCACAGCGAAUACCUGAAUAGUGUGUCAUAAAAUGUUUCAAGGACUUUUGUGGUAGAGUCUUUUCUUUCUUCCAGUCCCAAAUCUCUUUUUCCUUCCCCUGUUCCUGGUAUCUCACGUUUCCUUUGGCACUCCCCAUCCCUAUACCAAAACUGCCAAUCAAAUGAGCCAAGUCUCUUUACCAAAGGGAGUG